GACGGAGGAUGCAAGCGUUAUCCGGAAUGAUUGGGCGUAAAGCGUCCGCAGGUGGCAGUUCAAGUCUGCUGUCAAAGACCGGGGCUUAACUUCGGAAAGGCAGUGGAAACUGAACAGCUAGAGUAUGGUAGGGGCAGAGGGAAUUCCUGGUGUAGCGGUGAAAAUGCGUGAGAGAUCAGGAAGAACAUCGGUGGCGAAGGCGCUCUGCUGGACCAUAACUGACACUCAGGGACGAAAGCUAGGGGAGCGAAUGGG
rnacentral:rRNA from 1 species